GAUGAACGCUGGCGGCGUGCCUAAUACAUGCAAGUCGAGCGAACAGAUGAGGAGCUUGCUCCUCUGACGUUAGCGGCGGACGGGUGAGUAACACGUGGAUCACCUACCUAUAAGACUGGGAUAACUUCGGGAAACCGGCGCUAAUACCGGAUAAUAUAUUGCACCGCAUGGUUCAAUAGUGAAAGACGGUUUUGCUGUCACUUCUAGCUGGAUCCGCGCCGCAUUAGCUAGUUGGUAAGGUAACGGCUUACCAAGGCUACGAUGCGUAGCCGACCUGAGAGGGUGAUCGGCCACACUGGAACUGAGACACGGUCCAGGCUCCUACGGGAGGCAGCAGUAGGGAAUCUUCCGCAAUGGGCGAAAGCCUGACGGAGCAACGCCGCGUGAGUGAUGAAGGUCUUCGGAUCGUAAAACUCGGUUAUUAGGGAAGAACAAAUGUGUAAGUAACUAUGCACGUCUUGACGGUACCUAAUCAGAAAGCCACGGCUAACUACGUG
rnacentral:rRNA from 1 species